rnacentral:rRNA from 1 species
GAUCCUGGCUCAGGACGAACGCUGGCGGCGUGCCUAACACAUGCAAGUCGAGCGGGGAAUAUUGAGCAGCUUGCUGCUUGAUAUUUCUAGCGGCGGACGGGUGAGUAACGCGUGAGCAACCUGCCUUUAUCAGGGGGAGUAACGCAUCGAAAGAUGUGCUAAUACCGCGUAAGACCACAGCUUCACAUGGAGCAGGGGUCGAAAGGAAGCAAUCCGGAUAAAGAAUGGGCG